rnacentral:rRNA from 2 species
ACGAACGCUGGCGGCGUGCUUAACACAUGCAAGUCGAACGAUGAAGCCCUUCGGGGUGGAUUAGUGGCGAACGGGUGAGUAACACGUGGGCAAUCUGCCCUUCACUCUGGGACAAGCCCUGGAAACGGGGUCUAAUACCGGAUACCACUCCUGCCUGCAUGGGCGGGGGUUGAAAGCUCCGGCGGUGAAGGAUGAGCCCGCGGCCUAUCAGCUUGUUGGUGGGGUAAUGGCCCACCAAGGCGACGACGGGUAGCCG